GUAUUGCCUUGAGCGUCUGGUUAAUUUCACUCAGAAUCUUGUCCAGGGAUUCAGAGUCUGCCAUUUUCUUUUUGAGGUCGUUUAAGUGGCUGGAUGUUUUCUGGAAGAUGUCCAGGACAUGCACUGGUUCCCUGAAUGCACGCUCGGGCCAUGUCUCAUCAAUAAUCUUUGACAGCUCUCUGCCAAUGUAAGACAAUUGUUGUUGACUACUGUCAAUUUCUGGAGUUCUGAUUUCUGCCCUCUCCACACAGGCGUUGAUGACUGUGAGCAAGCUGCUUGGACCACGCCAUUAGAUAAUUCAGAACAUUCAAGGCCUCGGUGGGAGUGUAGUCGCUGUCUGAAACCACUCCAAUCUCUAGUACCUGUUGGAGGACAUUCUUGAGCUGAUGGAGAGCCCUGGUCAGGCGAUAUGAUUCUCCAGUAUCAGUGUCUACUAAUGCGGGGAAUGAUGGCACAUGGCCAGGCAGAGUCAGGGAAUUUAAAAGCUGGUCCACGGCAGCCAGGUUGGGGAGGGUGACGCUUGGGAGGGACGUCCCAGACCUGUCUGGCUCGGCCUCCCUGUCGCCCUCGCUCUCGUCCUCCAUAUCAUCGUCCCCAGUAAGAUCGAUGACGUCAUCGUCCAUCGUUAAGUCAAUUAUGUCUGGAGAGGGUAGAGGGUGUGUCAUUUUCUCUGGAGGGGUGCGCCCAGAUUCUUUCCUCUUUUUGUUGGCAUCAGUCCACUCCUCCCCACAGCUCAUAGGAUACCUCUUCCUCUUUGCCUUUGACAUGUAUUUCAAGAGGGAGCCCACUUCUGGGUCAGGCGACGAUGACGCCUGUGGUGACGAACAGAAACUCUGGUUGGUGGUUGGUAGGUCAUAUUCUUCCAAGAUUAUUUUUGAACCAUGUAAAUCAGAAAAGGAGAUGACUUUAUAGUGAGACAUGAUGUAAUUUUUGGGAGAAAUGUGUCCUGGUACAAAAUAUAGGAAGCACGCAGUAUAUUCGCGGGACACGCCCCCGACAUAUUUUAUCAGAGCAUCUGGAUCAGACGUGCUGAGUACGUGGGCUGGACUCUCAGGAAUGUCCUUUAGACAGUGUGGAUCAAACAUGGUGUACCUGCCCCCCUGGAUGAUUAUGGCCCCAGAUUUUUGUCCACAGAUGUACAAAAUAUACUGGAUAGUGUUUGAAUAAUUGGCCGUCAGCAGGUCACGCAGGGACGUGAUGCAGGAGUCAGAAAUGUCAGCUGGCAUGCCAAGCAGGCCAAACAUUUCAGCAGAGGUAUAGAUGAACCCAGACCACUUUCUUGUUUGGACAUAGCAAGGCACGUGGUCCAGCUGGGCAUAUUGGCCAGGAGAUAAGAGGCCCAAUUUUCUCAGAUUGCUGUCUAACUCUGCCCCAAACUUUAAAACUUUAUUAAGGUCGUGGGUCUCGGUUAUGGGGGCUUCAUUGUUGAAGUAGGAAGACAUCAGGUAUAUGAUACAGUUGCUAAGACACUGAGCCCCUGCAUUUUCUCCAAAUUUACAAUCUGCCUGAUUGGUUGAGGCUGUACCUUCGAUGCGAAACCCAGCCAAAGAAGCAGGCAGGGCCAUUAUGAUAGCAGUUUUAUUAUGUCAUGAAUUUUUACAAUAGUGUAGGGGCACUCUGCGUGCUCGGCGGUGUAGGUUUGUUGUGUAAAUAUUUGCCAGUUAACAUCCAGGGGUAUUCUGUCAUAAGUGCUGGAAUAUUUUUUCAGUUGGGGUGGAUGUUUCUCACCACGGGCAGCGUUUUGGCUAAAAAUCUGGGGGUAGGUAGAAUAUAGCAUGGUUAGGUCUUCAUCUGUGGGGUUUCCCCCAGCCUGGGUCAUUGACGUGUCUGUGGGUGGAGCCAUCAGAUUUACUGGAAUUUCUUUAAGAUUUUUGAUAAUUUCCACAUUUCCAGCCGAUGCCGCCUUUAAGAUUGUGGGGGUAAUGAUUUCCUGGGAAAACAGGUCAUGAAACCUUUUUCUUAAGCAACUUGAACAUCCUUUCGAGAGAAGGGAUAGUCCAGAGCUAAUUCUGGAGAGUAUGCCACUGAAGGACUGUUUGAGUUGGUUCCAAGGUUCGGUGUCAAAUUCUAUCCCCAACUCAUGCUGUUUAUAUGCCUCUAGGUCUUGAAGAAGUGAGAGCACCGUGCUGUAUUCCCCCCUGAGUUCACCCUCCAGAUCUGUUAUCUCCAUCAGGAGCUGACUGUGAUCCUUUUCCACCUGGCUAAUCAGACUCUUGAGGGUCUCCAAGUGAACUUCCAGAAUCUGUCCACUGGAGGACAGUAUGGUGAAUUGAUGGGUUAGGGGGUGAUAGUUAUAUUUGGUGUGACAUAAAAUUGAGCCCAGACGUAAGAUGUUUCUGCCCCUCAACAAAAGGUGUUCGACCUUGGGGAUGAUGGCCGUGAUAUAAUCUACAGAAUUGAUAUAGGAUGCGCCAGUGUCUAGUACAAAUAAGUAGAGGAUUAGAUCCUGGGGUAUAGAAAAUGUCUGGUUAAUUUUGUUGAUCUUUUUCUUUAGAUCCAGGGCAUGGUCCAAGAGAUUCUUCAUGGCAGAAGGUUUAUUGGUCCCGUUGAUGAUGUCGAGCAGCUCAAAGUAGAACAUGCCCAGCGGUCUGCGGAUCUCCUGCAGCUGGGGCGUGUCGGUGAUAGCGAAGCUCAGCAGCCAUCUUAUUUGGAAGAGGGCCCGGUUUCUUGACGUCUUUCUGGAAAAUAUCCCCUGUAUGGUGGGACCAACGAUGUGUCUGAUGAAGUACUUGUAAAACAUUUUAUGGGAGACCAUGGCAGGCUCGUAGGAUAAGUCCCCGACAGGCAUUCUUUUACAGUAGGCCGCGACCCUCUCUUCGGAAACCUGGUGCUCGCAAGAGGGUUCCAUCAGUGGAUUCUGGGUGAUGAGGACAAUGCCCCAAUUCCUGUUUACCCAUGAAAAAAAUAAAGUUCUCAUGAUAUCUGA
rnacentral:lncRNA from 1 species